UGGAUCUUCUCUAACUGCUACUCUUACAUAGCUUUCCAGUCAAGGAUGGUAAGGACCUCUGCGAGGGGAAGCCAGCAACCAUGUCUGCACUGAGAGCCUGCUCUUGGUGUCCCAGCUUGGGAGAUCUCCCUGAUGGGGGCCCUGGCCCCUUGCCUGGGAUGACUACCUUCAUUCCUCUGAUCAUAGCUGCCUGGCAUGCUCUCCUGCUUUUCAAGAUUAUUUUGCCUGCAAGGCGUCUCUCUAUAUUUACAUCACAUAGCAAUUUGUUCUGUCUUGUCUUGCUUCUCACCUUCUUAGGCACAGGAGGAAAGCAACUUAUUUCCUUGCUUCUUCUGACAAACACAUGCUCUCCAGAGCAGACAGAUGCCUUAAAAUCAGAUAUAGGGCAUCAGUUCAUCUUUUGGGUUCAGCUGUAGCAUAUAAAGCAUUUGCUGGCUCUGGUCUAAUGCUUUUUGACGUUGUCAGACCCUCUUCAGUUAACUUCUGCCUUGAAACCAACUUGACAGCAAGUAUUGUUCCACAUUUAUUAAUACUGUACAUGUCAUCUUCAGACUGACAUGUUUCAAAGCCAGGCAUCAGCUGUGUUCAGCUCUGGCUUGAAAAAAAAUAUGCAGACAACAGCACAGACCUCCUGCUACUAACAAGUAAAUAGAUAAAUAAUGUGAUCACAGUGCAGCCCCAAAGCCUGGGAUUCUUUUCCAUGCCCACAGUGCUGCAGUUUGGUGCACCAGCGAAUGACACUGUAAAGCUCCUGGGUCUAAGCACUCUCCUUUGCGUGUUUACCUUCAUCCUCUGCAGGAGAUUAAUGUGGUUUGUCAGUCUGAAAAACAUGUUUAUAACACCAGAAACCACUAUAACCUUGGCAGUAUGCACUGGAAUUAAACGUCAUAAAAUUCAGACAUCCAAAUUUGUCUGCUUUGGUUUUACAUGACAAGUUCUUUCACAGUAGUUCUCCUGUGCCUCCGGUGCCAUUGGCACAGUGCAGCAGUCAAGAGGUGAUACCUGAAGUACUGUUAUUAUUUAUGUCACAGGUCUUCCUAAAACAGAAUAAAAUACUACUCUGAGUGGCUGAAAUGAACAUAAUAUGUAAUCGCAGCAAGCUUUUUUCCUACUGUCAGAUGCAAGGCUGCUGAUCCUGAUUUCACCAAGAUUUGUACUUCCUGCUUCACAUUCUAUACAUUCAUUCACUGAGGUCCCUUCCAGAGCUGUUGGGUGCUCGAGCACCAUUAAUGUUUUCAGAAUUUUCUGUUCCUAGUUGAAGGGAGAAGGUGCCUGACAUUCUCAUGACAGAGUUCAAAGCAGAAUCCAAGAAUGGAUGAGGUUGGCAGGGACCUCUGGGUCCAUCUGCUCCAACCCCUAUUCCAGCAGAGACAUCCACAGAUGGGUGCCCAGGCCCACGUCCAGGCAGGUUUUGAAGAUUUCCAAGGAGGAGACUCUACGAUGUGUGCCAGAGCUCGUCACCCACACUGCACAGAAGUGCUGCCUAGCAUUCAGAGGAAACCUCCUGUGUUCUGGUUUGUGACCACCAACUCUUGUCUUGGCACUAGGCACCACUGAAAACAGCCUGGAUCCAUCUUUUUCACACCCUCCCUUCAGGCUAGUAGAUCAAAGGGGAUAAUGAAGGAUGGCUGCACACACCAGAACCCAUUCAAUGUCAGCAGCAGGAUGACUGAGAGCAAGAUGGCUGGAAGGGAAAGGGACUGGGGACUGCCACCUCUCUUCUGGCAUUGGCACACAAUGAAAUUGUCUCAGGAUGUCUCAUGGAAGCACUGUCUUAAUGCAAGUACUUGUUAGAAGGAAAAUGGAAAUCAAAGACAGAACUGGAAAACCUCUGUGUCCUGUUUGGUGUUUCUUUGGAAGGUGUGGAUAUAUGGAGACAAGCUUGAGGGAUAGGAUCUCGUAUGUCUGCAGAGGAUUUAAUGGGUGAAAGAAGUGUGUGCAUAUGCAGCAGCUGCAGCACACACUGGAGCAAGUGGAUGUAUAAUCUAUUUGGAGAUAACUGGGUAGUUCUCUCACCAGUGUAUGGGGCUGACUGCAUGCUUAGUAGCUGCAAAGUAUGUUUACAGCAAGCGUGCUAUUUUUGAAGAGUUCUGUACUUAACAAUGCAUGGCAAGAGAGCACAGCACACAGCUGCUCCUGCUAGGCUGCUUCAUGUUCUGCAACUGCAGAGCACGCUUAGUCCUGACAUCUGAAGUUUCCAGACAUGAAGCAACAACUUCAGAAAAGUCUGCUUCCUAUAGCUAUCCAAAUUCCAGAAAGCUCAGAAAAAUUUAUGAACUUUUCAAAAUCUGCCUAAAUGGGAUUUCCAGACAGAAAGAGUAAAUGUGUUUGGGAAAAAGAUGCCUGCAACUUUCAGAAAGUCCUUCUCUACCUGUAGAAACCUGAG
ensembl:lncRNA